UGCGUAGGCGGAUUAAUAAGUCAGUGGUGAAAACCUUCAGCUUAACUGGAGACUUGCCAUUGAUACUGUUAGUCUUGAGUAUGGUCAAGGUAGGCGGAAUGUGUAAUGUAGCGGUGAAAUGCUUAGAUAUUACACAGAACACCGAUUGCGAAGGCAGCUUACUGGACCAUGACUGACGCUGAGGCACGAAAGCGUGGGUAGCGAACAGGAUUAGAUACCCUGGUAGUCC
rnacentral:rRNA from 1 species